rnacentral:lncRNA from 1 species
GUACUGACCCUGGGGGACACUGCUAUCUACAGGCCUCCAACUAGACUCCACACUUCUAGACUGUACUUCUAGAUUUAUAGAAAAUCUGCAAAAAGGUGCUGAAGACUCUCUCAGCAGCUUCUCAUUUUCUGGAGCCCUGAGGGCCAGGUGCACAAAUUAGUCCAAUAUUUUCUGCUGCAGCAGGAUUUCCUGGAUGGUUCCAGCCCAAGCAGGCAGACCACCACAGGAGUCCUUGUAUUCAAGUCAAGUACUGCAGGAAUGUAUGAUUUACGGGGGAACAAAAAUAAGUAAAAGUCUAGAGGACUCAACCUUCAUUGAAGGAAAGAUUGAAGGGUUUGGAAUUAUUUAAGGAAUAAAUUUGAGAGGAAACUCA